GCUGUCCUUCACUGCUGACUGUGCUGAACUCUGUUGAUGACAUAGGGAGCAGAGGACGACUGCUGAGUGUUUCUCUGCCCUGGUUUCUGUGAGGUUCCUCCUGUCACUCUUCGUGUGCCUGAUCUCACAGACCCUCCCACCCAAGUGACUGCUGACCCCGACCCCCAUCUAGACAGGAAACAAGAUGACAAAACAAGUUUCUUUCAUUAGCUGAGAUAAAAUGCCUUAAUCAUCCUGUCCAGGGUGGACCCCAGCCUUGUGCCCCAUGCUGCCUGGGAAAGGCUCCAGGCGCUCCACAUGACCCUGAUCAAGAUAAGUGGUUAGGAGAUGGAUGGAUGGAUGGAUAGAUAUUCUUAAAUGACUGAUUGACUGUAGGUAGAAUAAACUGGACAUAGACCCUUUGACUCACCACCAUUGUACUGAGCUGUUAUUUUUGCACUUGUGACCCUCCUGUUAGCUGUAACAGUCUGGCUGUUCUCCUCUGACUUCUCUCAUUAACAAGGUAUUUUCACCCACAGACCCACCACAGGUGUUUAUGUUUAUUGCACCAUCCUCAGUAAACUCUACACACUGCAGUGUGUUAAAAUCUGGCUGUUUCUGAGAUGCUGGACCCACAGCAUUUGGCAGCAACAAUCACACCACAACCUCUUAGCUCAGACAUCUCAGCCAUUCAGAUGCUCAGCCAAACACAGCUGAGACUGUAUCAUGGACUCUGUGUUCAUCCAUCACACACAGCAGGCAGAUACACUGCUGGUCGGUACGGCAGUAGACCUCCAGGAGUUUGUCAUGCUGGGAACAGACCUUGUCCUGCAGAUGUCCAGUGGCA